rnacentral:rRNA from 1 species
UGGGGAAUAUUGCACAAUGGAGGGAACUCUGAUGCAGCGACGCCGCGUGAGUGAUGAAGGAAUUCGUUUCGUAAAACUCUGUUCUAUGGGAAGAAAAGGACUGUACCAUAGGAGAAAGCUCCGGCUAAAUACGUGCCAGCAGCCGCGGUAAUACGUAUGGAGCGAGCGUUGUCCGGAAUUAUUGGGCGUAAAGGGUGCGCAGGCCGUGGGUUAAGUGUGUUGUGAAAUCCGGUUGCUCAACAUCCGGUUUGCAGCGCAUACUGUCCCACUUGAGUGCGCACAACGCAGGCGGAAUUCGUCGUGUAGCGGUGAAAUGCUUAGAUAUGACGAGGAACCCCGAUUGCGAAGGCAGCUUGCGGGAGCGCAACUGACGCUUAAGCUCGAAGGUGCGGGUAUCAAACAGG